ensembl:miRNA
CUGAUGAAAUCACUCUAUGUUCCUGCUUGCUGAUACAGGAUAGGUUGAUUUCAUUGCAU